rnacentral:tRNA from 1 species
CGGGGUGUAGCGCAGCCCGGUUAGCGCACCUGCUUUGGGAGCAGGGGGUCGGAGGUUCAAAUCCUCUCACCCCGA